GCCUAAGACAUGCAAGUUGAACGGAGCGAACUUAUGAAGAUGGAGUGCUUGCACAAAGUUGGAAUUUGACCUCGCUUAGUGGCGAAAGGGUGAGUAACACGUGGGAAUCUGCCUUUGAGACUGGGACAACAGUUGGAAACGACUGCUAAUACCGGAUGAUAUAUAAGAUGAUACGUUAUCUUAUAUUAAAAGAAGCCUUUAAAGCUUCACUUAAAGAUGAGCCUGCGGCGUAUUAGCUAGUUGGUAAGGUAAUGGCUUACCAAGGCGACGAUGCGCAGCCGAACUGAGAGGUUGAUCGGCCACAUUGGGACUGAGACACGGCCCAAACUCCUAUGGGAGACAGCAGUUAGGAAUAUUCGUCAAUGGGGGAAACCCUGAACGAGCAAUGCCGCGUGAGUGAUGACGGUCCUUUGGAUUGUAAAACUCUUUUAUUAGGGACGAACGACUAGUAUAGGAAAUGAUACUAGAGUGACGGUACCUUUUGAAUAAGCCCCGGCUAACUACGUG
rnacentral:rRNA from 1 species